GUAGGUGGCAAGCGUUGUCCGGAAUUAUUGGGCGUAUAGCGCGCGCAGGCGGUUCUUUAAGUCUGAUGUGAAAGCCCACGGCUCAACCGUGGAGGGUCAUUGGAAACUGGAGAACUUGAGUACAGAAGAGGAAAGCGGAAUUCCACGUGUAGUGGUGAAAUGCGUAGAGAUGUGGAGGAACACCAGUGGCGAAGGCGGCUUUCUGGUCUGUAACUGACGCUGAGGCGCGAAAGCGUGGGGAGCAAACAGGAUUAGAUACCCUGGUAGUCCACGCCGUAAACGAUGAGUGCUAAGUGUUAGGGGGUUUCCGCCCCCCUUAGUGCUGCAGCUAACGCAUUAAGCACUCCGCCUGGGAGUACGGCCGCAAGGCUG
rnacentral:rRNA from 1 species